AUUGAACGCUGGCGGCAUGCUUUACACAUGCAAGUCGAACGGUAACAGGUUAAGCUGACGAGUGGCGAACGGGUGAGUAAUGCAUCGGAACGUGCCCGGUCGUGGGGGAUAACGCAGCGAAAGCCGCGCUAAUACCGCAUACGAUCUGAGGACGAAAGCGGGGGACCGUAAGGCCUCGCGCGAUCGGAGCGGCCGAUGUCAGAUUAGGUAGUUGGUGGGGUAAAGGCUCACCAAGCCAACGAUCUGUAGCUGGUCUGAGAGGACGACCAGCCACACUGGGACUGAGACACGGCCCAGACUCCUACGGGAGGCAGCAGUGGGGAAUUUUGGACAAUGGGCGAAAGCCUGAUCCAGCAAUGCCGCGUGCAGGAAGAAGGCCUUCGGGUUGUAAACUGCUUUUGUACGGAGCGAAAAGGUCUCCUCUAAUACAGGGGGCUCAUGACGGUACCGUAAGAAUAGGCACCGGCUAACUACGUGCCAGCAGCCGCCGCAG
rnacentral:rRNA from 1 species